rnacentral:rRNA from 1 species
UCUGGCUUCGGCCCGAGUUGUAAUUUGCAGAGGAUGUUUCUGGCGCGGUGCCUUCCGAGUUCCCUGGAACGGGACGCCAUAGAGGGUGAGAGCCCCGUAUGGUUGGAUACUAAGCCUGUGUGAAACUCCUUCGACGAGUCGAGUAGUUUGGGAAUGCUGCUCAAAAUGGGAGGUAAAUCUCUUCUAAAGCUAAAUAUUGGCCAGAGACCGAUAGCGCACAAGUAGAGUGAUCGAAAGAUGAAAAGCACCUUGAAAAGGGGGUUAAACAGUACGUGAAAUUGUUGAAAGGGAAGCGCUCAUGACCAGACUUGUGCUGGGCAGCUCAUCCGGGGUUCUCUCCGGUGCACUCUGCCCAGUUCAGGCCAGCAUCGAUUUUUGCUGGGGGAUAAGAACGGUAGGAACGUGGCCCUCCUUCGGGAGGGUGUUAUAGCCUGCCGUACGAUACCCUGGCGGAGAUCGAGGUUCGCGCAUCUGCAAGGAUGCUGGCGUAAUGGUCAUCAGCGACCCGUCUUGAAACACGGACCAAGGAGUCGUCCAUUAGAGCGAGCGUUUGGGUGUAAAACCCGCACGCGUAAUGAAAGUGAAAUUAGGUGAGAGCUUCGGCGCAUCAUCGACCGAUCCUGAUGUUCUCGGAAGGAUUUGAGUAAGAGUUUUAACGGACGGACCCGAAAGACAGUGAACUAUACUUGUAUAGGGUGAAGCCAGAGGAAACUCUGGUGGAGGCUCGCAGCGGUUCUGACGUGCAAAUCGAUCGUCAAAUAUGAGCAUGGGGGCGAAAGACUAAUCGAA